AGAGCAGGAGAGAGACCACGGACAGGUACACGGUGAUCCUCUGUCCGCCAAACCGCUUCCUCAGAGAUGUAGACUGGAACGAAGAUCCACCCUAACAUCACCAUGAUGAAGAUAGCCUGCAAAACGCCAGAAAGUAGCCCUUGGCACUGCCACGGUUGGCCCUCCAUGCGGACUGAAGGGAAGAAGAACAGAUCCGUUACUCGUUUGUCUUGAAAAGCUGUGAUUGAGCCAACAGGCUGUGUACUUCAUCAAGAGGAGGACUGAUCUGUUUCGACAGCCCCUCAGAAACAGCUUACUCUAACAGGCUACCUAGUAGGUACAUCUGCAACAUGUCUUAGAAUUCACCUUGACCUCUACAUACCGGGGCGCUGGAAGGUCCUGAUUUUAACAGACCUGUCCUUGUGAGUACUAGUA